GCCUGGUUGGCUCAGUUGGUUAAGUAUCUGACUUUGGCUCAGGUCAUGAUCUCACGGUUUGUGGGUUUGAGCCCCGUGUCAGGCU
rnacentral:tRNA from 1 species